rnacentral:rRNA from 1 species
UGGCGGCGUGCCUAACACAUGCAAGUCGAGCGAAGCACUUGCGAAUGAUCCUUCGGGUGAUUUUGCUGGUGACUGAGCGGCGGACGGGUGAGUAACGCGUGGGUAACCUGCCUCAUACAGGGGGAUAACAGUUAGAAAUGACUGCUAAUACCGCAUAAGCGCACAGUACCACAUGGUACGGUGUGAAAAACUCCGGUGGUAUGAGAUGGACCCGCGUCUGAUUAGCUGGUUGGUGGGGUAACGGCCCACCAAGGCAACGAUCAGUAGCCGACCUGAGAGGGUGAUCGGCCACAUUGGGACUGAGACACGGCCCAAACUCCUACGGGAGGCAGCAGUGGGGAAUAUUGCACAAUGGGGGAAACCCUGAUGCAGCAACGCCGCGUGAGUGAAGAAGUAUUUCGGUAUGUAAAGCUCUAUCAGCAGGGAAGAAAAUGACGGUACCUGACUAAGAAGCCCCGGCUAACUACGUGCCAGCAGCCGCGGUAAUACGUAGGGGGCAAGCGUUAUCCGGAUUUACUGGGUGUAAAGGGAGCGUAGACGGCAGCGCAAGUCUGAAGUGAAAGCCCGGGGCUCAACCCCGGAAUGGCUUUGGAAACUGUGCGGCUAGAGUACCGGAGGGGUAAGCGGAAUUCCUAGUGUAUCGGUGAAAUGCGUAGAUAUUAGGAGGAACACCAGUGGCGAAGGCGGCUUACUGGACGGUAACUGACGUUGAGGCUCGAAAGCGUGGGGAGCAAACAGGAUUAGAUACCCUGGUAGUCCACGCGGUAAACGAUGAAUGCUAGGUGUUGGUGAGCAAAGCUCAUCGGUGCCGCCGCAAACGCAUUAAGCUUUCCACCUGGGGAGUACGUUCGCAAGAAUGAAACUCAAAGGAAUUGACGGGGACCCGCACAAGCUUUGGAGCAUGUGGUUUAAUUCAAAGCAACGCGAAGAACCUUACCAAGUCUUGACAUCCCGAUGAAAGAUCCUUAACCGGAUUCCCUCUUCGGAGCAUCGGAGACAGGUGGUGCAUGGUUGUCGUCAGCUCGUGUCGUGAGAUGUUGGGUUAAGUCCCUCAACGAGCGCAACCCUUAUCCUCAGUAGCCAGCAGUGAGAUGGGCACUCUGGUGAGACUGCCAGGGAUAACCUGGAAAAACGCGGGGAUGACGUCAAAUCAUCAUGCCCCUUAUGAUUUGGGCUACACA